AGUCUCUGUGGCGCAAUUGGUUAGCGCGUUAGACUGUUAAUCUAAAGGUUGGUGGUUCGAGCCCACCCAGGACUA